GAUUAGGUAGUUGGUGAGGUAACGGCUCACCAAGCCGACGAUCGGUAGCCGGACUGAGAGGUCGAACGGCCACAUUGGGACUGAGACACGGCCCAGACUCCUACGGGAGGCAGCAGUGGGGGAUAUUGCACAAUGGGGGAAACCCUGAUGCAGCGACGCCGCGUGUGGGAAGACGGUCCUCUGGAUUGUAAACCACUGUCCCCAGGGACGAAGAUGACGGUACCUGGGGAGGAAGCUCCGGCUAACUACGUGCCAGCAGCCGCGGUAAUACGUAGGGAGCGAGCGUUGUCCGGAAUUACUGGGUGUAAAGGGAGCGUAGGCGGGACUGCAAGUUGGGUGUCAAAUCUACCGGCUCAACCGGUAGCCGCACUCAAAACUGCAGUUCUUGAGUGAAGUAGAGGCAGGCGGAAUUCCUAGUGUAGCGGUGAAAUGCGUAGAUAUUAGGAGGAACACCAGUGGCGAAGGCGGCCUGCUGGGCUUUUACUGACGCUGAGGCUCGAAAGUGUGGGGAGCAAACAGGAUUAGAUACCCUGGUAGUCCACACCGUAAACGAUGAUCACUAGGUGUGGGGGGUCUGACCCCUUCC
rnacentral:rRNA from 1 species